UCUCUAGUGGUUUAAGAAGAACGUAAGAUUGCAGCUCUUGAGGUGAAUGUUUGCUUUCCUGGAGAU
rnacentral:tRNA from 3 species